rnacentral:rRNA from 1 species
UACAGAGGAGCCAAGCGUUGUCCGGAUUGACUGGGCGUAAAGCGCACGCAGGCGGUUGCGCGCGUGGGGUGUGAAAUCUGGCCGCUUAACGGCCAGGCGCCAUCCCAUACGGCGCGACUGGAGUGAUGCAGAGGUCGAUGGAAUUGCCGGUGUAGUGGUGAAAUGCGUAGAGAUCGGCAGGAACUCCCAGGGGGAAACCAGUCGACUGGGCAUCUACUGACGCUGAGGUGCGAGAGCGUGGGGAGCGAACCGG